GCGCUAGGUUUCUCUGACAACGCAUGCGAAUUUGAAUUAAAAAUGGCAACCGGUUGAAGAAGGGACGCGAUCUUUUUACAUUUACAAUGUGUAAUAGUCGUUACUCGGUAUCUUUAAUGCCAAGCUUUAGAGAUAUCUACUUACAAGGGCUGUGCAGUUAUAAACAAGGUAUUUCAUCAUGAAAACGUGAAAACCGCUGGACCUUUGUACCCGAGCCUGUCUUCGAUUUCUUUGUAAAACUGAAAUAACUUUAUCGCUCUUGAGUAAAGACUUAAACUUC